rnacentral:rRNA from 2 species
GAGUCAUACCUGCUCGGUGAAUAUAUUUUAACAGCUGCGGUAUUUUAACUGUACUAAGGUAGCAUAAUAAUUUGCCUUAUAAUUUGAGGCUAGAAUGAAUGGUUUGACGAAGGUUAUGCUGUCUCUAUUUUAUUUUUUAGAAUUUAAUUUUUAUUGUGAAAAAGCAUAAAUUUUUCAAAGGGACGAGAAGACCCUAGUGAGCUUAUAAUUAUAUUAGUAUAAUAUUAUUAUUAUUCAUAUUAUACUAUAUAAAUUUUAAUUGGGGUGAUUAAGGAAUAAAUAUUGUAUAAUAACUUCCUUGAUAAAUAAUAUAUUUAUAUGAAAUAACCAAUAAUAAUAUUGCUUAUAGUAUAGUUACCAUAGGGAUAACAGCGUAAUUUAUUUAGAGAGUUCUUAUUGAAAAAUAAGAUUGCGACCUCGAUGUUGGAUUAAAGUUACCUUAAGGUGCAGAAGCUUUAAUAAGGUGAAUCUGUUCGAUUUUUAAAACUUUACAUGAUCUGAGU